rnacentral:lncRNA from 1 species
CUCUACCUAAUAAAUACAGUAUACAUAAAGACUAAUACUAAUAUUUACGUCAAUAAUAAGAAUAAUAUAAAGAUAUUAUAUCACAAAUCAAGAAAAUUACUAUUGCUACACUUGUUUUCUCCUUCUAGAAUAUACAACAGUAGAGGAACUUUCUACACUAGAAAGGAAGCUAUAUAUGAAGGAGGUGUUGUACUAUUUUUGUAAGAAUUUAAUGUAUUAAUGCAUUUUGUUAUGCUUGAUUUUGUAUAGUUUAGCUCCCCCUUCAAAGGUUGAGACCAUUCCACGCCUCUACCAUUGUAUUCAACAUUUGCAGUAGUACACAUUAGAAUCUUCAACAAUUCCAGGUAGUAGUAGUAGCAGUAGCGUACAACUGCAACAAUGUUUGAGGCUAUUCGACCACUCCAGCACUGUUUG